GUCUUUUCCUCAAAAAUUACACCGUUUAAGACAAAGCUCUUGAAUUCAUAAAAUAUAGUAUUUGCUCUGUAUGUAUCAAUGGUUGCGUCAUAUCUUUUCCGGUACACCGCUUCACCAAAUCAAAAUUCCCAAUUCCUUACAAUAUUACAUUAUGCCACAUUUUUGUAAACCAACAACCGCCACCGUACAUUAUUCCCAAUUCCUUCAUCGGAUAACCAUCUACUACCUCCGUCAAAAUCAAAUUGUUAAUUCCUUCAAUUUCCGCAAAUUCAUCAAACAAGUUCGACAUCAAAGCGCUUUGGGGAUUCUUUGCGAAAAAACAUCCAAAAACAAGCGAAACGAUGACAUACACAACGCUCAAUCAAACACUAUAAUCGCUGGGAAUGUAAGUAUGUUUAAAGUUGUAAGUUUGUUUCAUUUUUAAUAUUUCUUGAUUAGUUUUUUGUUUAGUUCUUAAAAGCAUGCACGCCAUUCAAUUGUUCAUUUUUGGAUUUUGAGUUGUGACUCUUGAAUUAUUGAUCUUUUAACUAGAAUUUGUUGAUCGUGAUAA